rnacentral:rRNA from 1 species
GAUGAACGCUAGCGGCAGGCCUAAUACAUGCAAGUCGAGCGGCAGCAUGGGACUUCGGUUCCGAUGGCGAGCGGCGCACGGGUGCGUAACGCGUAUGCAACCUACCGAUAAGAGGGGAAUAGCCCGUGGAAACGCGGAUUAAUACCCCGUAGUAAGGGAGACUGGCAUCUUUUUCCCUUUAAAGCUACGGCGCUUAUCGAUGGGCAUGCGUCCAAUUAGCUAGAUGGCGGGGUAAAAGCCCACCAUGGCGACGAUUGGUAGGGGGCCUGAGAGGGUGAUCCCCCACACUGGUACUGAGACACGGACCAGACUCCUACGGGAGGCAGCAGUAGGGAAUAUUGGUCAAUGGGCGAGAGCCUGAACCAGCCAUGCCGCGUGCAGGAAGACGGCCCUUGGGUUGUAAACUGCUUUUCUACGGGAAGAAAAGGGCUCUGCGGAGCACAUUGACGGUACCGUAGGAAUAAGCACCGGCUAACUACG